GUGUCAGCCGCCGCGGUAAUACAGAGGGUGCGAGCGUUAUCCGGAUUUACUGGGCGUAAAGCGAGCGUAGGUGGCUCAUUAAGUCACAUGUGAAAUCCCCGGGCUUAACCUGGGAACUGCAUUUGAUACUGGUGGUGCUAGAAUAUGUGAGAGGGAAGUAGAAUUCCAGGUGUAGCGGUGAAAUGCGUAGAGAUCUGGAGGAAUACCGAUGGCGAAGGCAGCUUCCUGGCAUAAUAUUGACACUGAGAUUCGAAAGCGUGGGUAGCAAACAGGAUUAGAUACCCGCGUAGUCC
rnacentral:rRNA from 1 species